UGGAGCAUGUGGUUUAAUUCGAUGCAACGCGAAGAACCUUACCUGGUCUUGACAUCCACAGAACUUUCCAGAGAUGGAUUGGUGCCUUCGGGAACUGUGAGACAGGUGCUGCAUGGCUGUCGUCAGCUCGUGUUGUGAAAUGUUGGGUUAAGUCCCGCAACGAGCGCAACCCUUAUCCUUUGUUGCCAGCGGUCCGGCCGGGAACUCAAAAGGAGACUGCCAGUGAUAAACUGGAGGAAGGUGGGGAUGACGUCAAGUCAUCAUGGCCCUUACGACCAGGGCUACACACGUGCUACAAUGGCGCAUACAAAGAGAAGCGACCUCGCGAGAGCAAGCGGACCUCAUAAAGUGCGUCGUAGUCCGGAUUGGAGUCUGCAACUCGACUCCAUGAAGGCGGAAUCGCUAGUAAUCGCGGAUCAGCAUGCCGCGGUGAAUACGUUCUCGGGGUUU
rnacentral:rRNA from 1 species